AUUCCAUGUUGUGGACAUUUCCUCAAAAAUGUCUUGAACUUCUCCCAGGCUUCAUAGAUAGACUCUGAUUCUUUCUGUUUGAACCCUGUAAUCUCAUCCUUCAACUU